UUACUUGGAUAACUGUGGUAAUUCUAGAGCUAAUACAUGCAAACAGAGCUCCGACCGGAAACGGAAGGAGCGCUUUUAUUAGAUCAAAACCAAUCGGUGGCGGGCUCGCUCGUCAUCGUACAACUUGGUGACUCUGAAUAACUUUACGCUGAUCGCACGGUCUAGCACCGGCGACGCAUCUUUCAAAUGUCUGCCUUAUCAACUGUCGAUGGUAGGUUCUGCGCCUACCAUGGUUGUAACGGGUAACGGGGAAUCAGGGUUCGAUUCCGGAGAGGGAGCCUGAGAAACGGCUACCACAUCCAAGGAAGGCAGCAGGCGCGCAAAUUACCCACUCCCGGCACGGGGAGGUAGUGACGAAAAAUAACGAUACGGGACUCAUCCGAGGCCCCGUAAUCGGAAUGAGUACACUCUAAACCCUUUAACGAGGAUCAAUUGGAGGGCAAGUCUGGUGCCAGCAGCCGCGGUAAUUCCAGCUCCAAUAGCGUAUAUUAAAGUUGUUGCGGUUAAAAAGCUCGUAGUCGAAUCUGUGUCCCGCGCCGCCGGUUCAUCGUUCGCGGUGUCAACUGGCGUGCCGCGGGACGUCCUGCCGGUGGGCUUAGCUCGCAAGGGCGGCCCAACACAAUCCCGCCGCGGUGCUCUUUAUUGAGUGUCGAGGUGGGCCGGCACGUUUACUUUGAACAAAUUAGAGUGCUUAAAGCAGGCCAAAACUUCGCCUGAAUACUGUGUGCAUGGAAUAAUGGAAUAGGACCUCGUUUCUAUUUUGUUGGUUUUCGGAACCACGAGGUAAUGAUUAAUAGG
rnacentral:rRNA from 1 species